AUUGAACGCUGGCGGCAUGCCUUACACAUGCAAGUCGAACGGUAACAGGUCUUCGGAUGCUGACGAGUGGCGAACGGGUGAGUAAUACAUCGGAACGUGCCCAGUCGUGGGGGAUAACGAAGCGAAAGCUCUGCUAAUACCGCAUACGAUCUACGGAUGAAAGCAGGGGACCGCAAGGCCUUGCGCGAACGGAGUGGCCGAUGGCAGCUUAGUUAGUUGGUGGGAUAAAAGCUUACCAAGCCGACGAUCGGUAGCUGGUCUGAGAGGACGACCAGCCACACUGGGACUGAGACACGGCCCAGACUCCUACGGGAGGAAGCAGUGGGGAAUUUUGGACAAUGGGCGAAAGCCUGAUCCAGCCAUGCCGCGUGCAGGAUGAAGGCCUUCGGGUUGUAAACUGCUUUUGUACGGAACGAAAAGACUCUGGUUAAUACCUGGGGUCCAUGACGGUACCGUAAGAAUAAGCACCGGCUAACUACGUGCCAGCCGCCGCAGUAA
rnacentral:rRNA from 1 species